GUAUGUCGUGAAAUCCCUCGGCUCAACCGGGGAACUGCGGUGUAAACCACAAGUCUUGAGGUAGGUAGAGGUUGUCGGAACGUUCGGUGGAGCGGUGAAAUGCGUUGAUAUCGAACGGAACGCCUAAGGUGAAGACAGGCAACUGGGCCUUACCUGACGCUGAGGCACGAAAGCGUGGGGAUCAAACAGGAUUAGAUACCCUGGUAGUCCACGCCGUAAACGAUGUGCACUAGACCGAUGCGGGUCUGACCCCGUGUCGGUCGUAGAGAAAUUAUUAAGUGCACCGCCUGGGGAGUACGGUCGCAAGACUAAAACUCAAAGGAAUUGACGGGGGCUCACACAAGCGGUGGAGCAUGUUGCUUAAUUCGAAGCAACGCGAAGAACCUUACCAGGGCUUGACAUGCAUGGAUUAGCUCAUGGAAACAUGAGUGACGCCUUUUAGGUGGAACAUGCACAGGUGCUGCACGGCUGUCGUCAGCUCGUGCUGUGAAGUGUCGGGUUAAGUCCCUUAACGAGCGCAACCCUUGUCGCUAGUUGCCAGCGCGUAAUGGCGGGGACUCUAGCGAGACUGCCGGUGUCAAACCGGAGGAAGGUGGGGAUGACGUCAAGUCAGCGUGGCCCUUACGCCCUGGGAUGCAAACGUGCUACAAUGGCCUGUACAGAGCGAUGCGAUACCGCGAGGUGGAGCAAAUCGCAAAAAGCAGGCCCCAGUUCGGACUGCAGUCUGCAACUCGACUGCAUGAAGCCGGAAUCGCUAGUAAUCGCGGAUCAGCCAUGCCGCGGUGAAUACGUUCCUGAGCCUUGUACACACCGCCCGUCAAGUCAUGGAAGCUGGGAGCGCCCGAAGU
rnacentral:rRNA from 1 species